CUCCAGCCCCGAUUGUAGCAGAAAUCCUUUUCUGCCGGUCCCGAGGCUUCGGGAGGCAAAAAGAUUGGAGCGCAAAGCGGGAGAGGCU
rnacentral:sRNA from 1 species